UGGCGGACGGGUGAGUAAUGUCUGGGAAACUGCCUGAUGGAGGGGGAUAACCACUGGAAACGGUAGCUAAUACCGCAUAACGUCGCAAGACCAAAGAGGGGGACCUUCGGGCCUCUUGCCAUCGGAUGUGCCCAGAUGGGAUUAGCUAGUAGGUGGGGUAACGGCUCACCUAGGCGACGAUCCCUAGCUGGUCUGAGAGGAUGACCAGCCACACUGGAACUGAGACACGGUCCAGACUCCUACGGGAGGCAGCAUG
rnacentral:rRNA from 1 species